GAAUCUUUUUCAAAUAUAUUGAAUUGUUUACCUUGAGGUAUGGGUCCAACAAGUUGGUUGUAGGAAAGGUUCAAGGAAGAAAGUGAUGUCAAGUCUACCAAUUACAAUUAAGAUUUUAAUAUGAAAUUAAUAAUAUAUUUCUAUCAAAAAUUAAAAUCAUUACUGUAUUUAUGAUUUAAGUUUAAUUCUCAAUUUAAUUUGUUUUUUUAUUAAUUCGUUGAAAAAUAUAUAUAUUGCCUUAUUAAUCGAAAAUGUUCUUAAAUUGCAAUAGAGGUUACUACACACCCUAAAUGUUUAGAAUGGUCAACGAAAAGUCGCUUUGUCGAAUUUGUUUGCAAACUUAGUUCUGAUUUUUAUUUAUAUUUUCUUGAAAUAUUAGGUAAUUAGAAGGAUUUCUGAUUUGCUACUUGAAAGUGAACUUGACAAAUCAAGUAAGUGAUCGAUGUACCUUCGGUGUUUUCAGACGCUAAAAAUUAACCUAAAUGUGAAAUUGUAUUUAGUACAUUAUAUAUAAUAUAUCUUGUCUUAUGAUUUGUUAAAAUAGGGUUGGGCAUGUAAAAAUGUAUAUGUAUGAUUUUCGUAUGUUGGAUUUAGAAUGUGAAUUAUGUAAAGUGUGAUUUAUGAUUUUGAAACCUAAAUAUGAUUUUCUUUACUGUAUGAUAUAUGAUUAUCUUUGUGAUGCAAAUAUAAAAUAUUUUGUUUCAAACGAAUAUGUUUUGAUAUGCACGAUAUGUGUUUUGAUGUGCACAAUAUGUGUUUUGAUGAAAAUGGAUAUUACAGUUUUGUGAAUUUGGGUAAUAAAAAAUGUCUCGUUUUGUCGCCUAGUAUGACUAUGUUAUGAUCCCGCCAAUGGAGAUUAAUUGUUGGCCAUGUCGAUAUGUAUUUUAUGAUUAGAGAUCAAUUUACAAAUCAUACCACUGGUUUCAGAAUAAUGGUUUUUGUAAUGUAUGUUUAAUGCAGUCAAUAAUUGCUUCUGAUAAACUUAUGACCCAUGUCAUUGAUGUUAAUUGUAGUUUAUGAUUAUGACCCACGCCACUGGGGUUAAUUGUGGUUUAGUUUAUGAUAAUGACCCAUGCCAUUGGGGUUAAUUGUGGUUUAUGAUUAUGACUUAUGCUACAAAGGUUAAGUGUGGUCAUAAUAAGUUACAAGUGACCAUUAAAAAAUAUGAAUAUUUGUGAAAUUAUGUUUCGUUUUAAGAUAUAGAAAUGAAAUUUUGGAAUAAUAUGAUUUUAAAUAAGAUUACCUAAAUUUUGUUUUGAUAUUUAUAUGAUUAAUGAUAUUUUGACUUAAAUGUUUUGAGCAUGUUUAAUCCGAUUGAAAGGAUGUUUGUUACUUAUUAAUUGGGUAUACUCACGCCUUCUCUCACAAUUUCACAGGUUGUGAAUUGGUUAGGCAUGUGGGAAAUUACAAGGAUUGACGUUUUGUAGGCUAGCAUGUGGAUUUGGAUUGCUUUAGGAUUAUUUAAAUGUUAUGAACUUUUAGUUAUCUUAAAUUAGUUGUUCAGGCCUUUAUCUCGAUAUCUUAGCUUUAUAGUAUUGGAAACGUACUUUUGAUCAUUGUCAAAUUAUAUCCCUUUUGAAUUAUGUUGAUAGACUUAGCUUUGUGAGUCAUUAUAUUUUCAGAAAUAUUUGAUCCUUUAGUUAGUUGUAUAAGAUAUAUGUUUU
rnacentral:lncRNA from 1 species